GACGAACGCUGGCGGCGUGCUUAACACAUGCAAGUCGAACGGAAAGGCCCUGCUUUUGUGGGGUGCUCGAGUGGCGAACGGGUGAGUAACACGUGAGUAACCUGCCCUUGACUUUGGGAUAACUUCAGGAAACUGGGGCUAAUACCGGAUAUGAGCUCCUGCUGCAUGUUGGGUGUUGGAAAGUUUCGGCGGUUGGGGAUGGACUCGCGGCUUAUCCGCUUGUUGGUGGGGUAGUGGCUUACCAAGGCUUUGACGGGUAGCCGGCCUGAGAGGGUGACCGGCCACAUUGGGACUGAGAUACGGCCCAGACUCCUACGGGAGGCAGCAGUGGGGAAUAUUGCACAAUGGGCGGAAGCCUGAUGCAGAAACGCCGCGUGCGGGAUGACGGCCUUCGGGUUGUAAACCGCUUUCGCCUGUGACGAAGCGUGAGUGACGGUAAUGGGUAAAGAAGCACCGGCUAACUACGUG
rnacentral:rRNA from 1 species